rnacentral:rRNA from 1 species
CACGUAGGGGGCAAGCGUUGUCCGGAUUUAUUGGGCGUAAAGAGCUCGUAGGCGGCUCAGUAAGUCAGGUGUGAAACCUCCAGGCUCAACCUGGAGACGCCACCUGAUACUGCUGUGGCUAGAGUCCGGUAGGGGAGCGUGGAAUUCCUGGUGUAGCGGUGAAAUGCGCAGAUAUCAGGAGGAACACCAGCGGCGAAGGCGGCGCUCUGGGCCGGAACUGACGCUGAGGUGCGAAAGCGUGGGGAGCAAACAGG